UAGCAGCGGGAACAGAGAAA
rnacentral:miRNA from 1 species